rnacentral:tRNA from 1 species
AGAUUUUAUUAUAAAUAUAAUAUAACUAAUUACGGUUUAGUAGAUAGAGAUUUAGAGUUUUUAGAGUUCUU